rnacentral:ncRNA from 1 species
UUUGAAAAUGGCAAACUUAGUGAAAACUAAGGACGCAAAGCUAUGGAUCGUACAGGUUGGCUGACGACCGCCAGGUUACUGAUU